rnacentral:rRNA from 1 species
UACGUAGGGGGCGAGCGUUACCCGGAUUCACUGGGCGUAAAGGGGGCGCAGGCGAUCCAGUAUGUCGGGUGUGAAAUCCCACAGCUCAACUGUGGAAUUGCGCCCGAAACUACUGGGUUUGGGGCUGGUAGAGGGAGACGGAACUGCUGGUGUAGGGGUGAAAUCCGUAGAUAUCAGCAGGAACGCCGGUGGGGAAGCCGGUCUCCUGGGCCGUUCCUGACGCUGAGGCCCGAAAGCUAGGGGAGCAAACCGG